rnacentral:rRNA from 1 species
GACGAACGCUGGCGGCGUGCUUAACACAUGCAAGUCGAACGGAAAGGCCCUGCUUUUGUGGGGUGCUCGAGUGGCGAACGGGUGAGUAACACGUGAGUAACCUGCCCUUGACUUUGGGAUAACUUCAGGAAACUGGGGCUAAUACCGGAUAGGAGCUCCUGCUGCAUGGUGGGGGUUGGAAAGUUUCGGCGGUUGGGGAUGGACUCGCGGCUUAUCAGCUUGUUGGUGGGGUAGUGGCUUACCAAGGCUUUGACGGGUAGCCGGCCUGAGAGGGUGACCGGCCACAUUGGGACUGAGAGACGGCCCAGACUCCUACGGUAGGCAGCAGUGGGGAAUAUUGCACAGUGGGCGGAAGCCUGAUGCAGCAACGCCGCGUGCGGGAUGACGGCCUUCGGGUUGUAAACCGCUUUCGCCUGUGACGAAGCGUGAGUGACGGUAAUGGGUAAAGAAGCACCGGCUAACUACGUG